AUUUACAGAAUAGAUGCAGUUGCAAAGAUUUGUCAUCAAGCAUUCAACUCCCAUCUUUCUCAUAGGAUUACUUUGUCAUUCACAUACAAGCACAGUGGCGGUAAGACUACAAACGAAGUGCCUCAAAAUGCUGAUUUUCCUCGGCAAUAUUCAAAAAAGGAGAAGAAGCCUUUUCCGGUUCCCAUUGUAGAACUGCGAUGGGCAGCUAGGGAGAGGAUAAAAAAGAUGAAAGAUGAGCCAAAGAGAAAACCAAUGCCGGCGCCAAAGAAUGGAUUGCUAGUGAAGAACCUUAUACCAUAUGCAUAUGAUGUGUAUAAUGCUAGGAUCACUUUGAUUAAUAAUUUGAAGAAGCUGCUCAAAGUAGUGCCCAUGCAUGCUUGUGGGAAAUUAUAUUAUUCCUUCGUAUCAUCUACCAUACUAUUAACAAAUUACACAAAUUACACAAAAUUCUGCAAUCUCGGUGCUAUAAUUGGCCACAGACCCGACGCUGUCCAGCACUGCCUACUUGGUUGUACACCCGAAUGCCAAUCAUCUUCUACUCCUCCUUCACACAGUUUACAUAUAGUCGGACACGGGACAUAAUGUUGACGAAGUCGACAUCUUGUUGGAAGGAAGUCACGACAUAUUCGCCACAGUAAAUGUUUAGCCUUUGGCGGUGCUCGAAUCUUCCACAAACUCUCCCAACUUCCAUCUGCUUCUCACUCGGCUUCCUUUUUCACUUCUGUCUCGCAUCAAUAACUUGUAUCCCGAUUUCACGCUAUAUUCGCCAUUUUGUUCCUCUUUGCAGAUCACACAGUCCUCAUCUACCUCUUCUAUUAGGGGCACAUCCAGAAUUUGUAUGCCUAUCGAAGUAUUGAUUUAACUGUAUAUAUAGUGACAUAUUAGUAUGAUUGUGUUGUGAUACUGUUCUAUUAGGAGCACAUGAGGAUUGGGGACUACAAAUUUUUUGGGGUCAGAGUAAUGAAAUAAGAAGAGAAAGCUUUCGGUAGUGUGGCCUUAUUAGGGAAUUCACCCAUAAAAGCUAUCACAUCGACACUUAUUACCUCCCAAGCGUCUUUGAGGAAAGCGAAAAGGGUUUUUAUUCUCAUCUGAGUCAAUCAAAUAUUAAGAGAACUUAGUAGAGAGUGGCCUGGAAAUUCGUAUGAACUCUCUCCAAAAACUGCAACCACUUCUGCGAUGAAUUUUGUCUAAGACUAGGUAUUCCAAAACCUCCAGGUUUGCUAAUGUUGGUGGAUACUGCUAUGGAAGUGGUUGGGAAUAUAGCAUCACAAUUCCGGCGAGAACAGAGAUUGUAUCAACAAGUUAAGCAGCAUAGAGGUUCCAGUUUUGUGUUACUAAUAAUGUUAAAACUGAUGUGGCUAAUUCCUCUUCAAUUCAGAUAGAGGAGAAUCUCCAAAUAGAGUUUAAGCUGCUUUGUUGAAAAAUGUUUUCACUAAUGGUUGUGAAACCAUCUACUUUUAGUCAAAAGAGGUACUUCACAUGCAAGACAAGACAACAAAUCACUCUAACACACAUUAUUAGGUAAAACAUAUACAAGUACAAUAGUAUCAAAUAUGUCCCUG